UACGUACGAGGCAAGCGUUAUCCGGAAUUACUGGGCGUAAAGCGCGCGCAGGCGGACGUUAAGUAGGGCGUGAAAUCUCCCGGCCUAACUGGGAGGGGUCGCUCUAGACUGGGCGCUUGAGGACUGCAGAGGUGGGUGGAAUUCCUGGUGUAGUGGUGAAAUGCGUAGAGAUCAGGAGGAACACCGGUGGCGAAGGCGGCCCACUGG
rnacentral:rRNA from 1 species